rnacentral:rRNA from 1 species
CAGCAGCCGCGGUAAUACGAAGGGUGCAAGCGUUAAUCGGAAUUACUGGGCGUAAAGCGCGCGUAGGUGGUUUGGUAAGAUGGAUGUGAAAUCCCCGGGCUCAACCUGGGAACUGCAUCCAUAACUGCCUGACUAGAGUACGGUAGAGGGUGGUGGAAUUUCCUGUGUAGCGGUGAAAUGCGUAGAUAUAGGAAGGAACACCAGUGGCGAAGGCGACCACCUGGACUGAUACUGACACUGAGGUGCGAAAGCGUGGGGAGCAAACAGGAUUAGAUACCCCGGUAGUCCCUGUCUCUUAUAC